rnacentral:rRNA from 1 species
AUUGAACGCUGGCGGCAGGCCUAACACAAGCAAGUCGAGCGGAUGACGGGAGCUUGCUCCUUGAUUCAGCGGCGGACGGGUGAGUAAUGCCUAGGAAUCUGCCUGGUAGUGGGGGACAACGUUUCGAAAGGAACGCUAAUACCGCAUACGUCCUACGGGAGAAAGCAGGGGACCUUCGGGCCUUGCGCUAUCAGAUGAGCCUAGGUCGGAUUAGCUAGUAGGUGAGGUAAUGGCUCACCUAGGCGACGAUCCGUAACUGGUCUGAGAGGAUGAUCAGUCACACGGGAACUGAGACAAGGUCCAGAAUCCUACGGGAGGCAGCAGUGGGGAAUAUUGGACAAUGGACGAAAGCCUGAUUCAGCCAUGCCGCGUGUGUGAAGAAGGUCUUCGGAUUGUAAAGCACUUUAAGUUGGGAGGAAGGGUUGUACGUUAAUACCGUGCAAUUUUGACGUUACCGACAGAAUAAGCACCGGCUAACUCUGUGCCAGCCGCCGCCGUAAUAC